GGAUCAUCAUACUAAUUGGAUUGAGUACUAAUCUUCCCCCUUGACUUCCCUGCCUUUACAGGAAAGUGGUUUAGAGUAGAGAGACAUGGUGCCCUAAUGAGAGGUUGGUUGGGACAUGGAGAGUCCUCCAUCCAGCAAGGAUGCAGCUGCACUCAGGCUCAGGGCCAGGCUUUGGUGGAAGAGGGAAUCUGAAAGCAGUCCCGGGAAGCAGUCAGGUGGAGAGGAGGUUAACUAGCACCUCAUGAGCAUGGGCCUGUUGAUUCUGGCCAAGACUCCAGGUUCCUGGAGGUUCCUUUUAUUUAACCAAAGUCAACAAAGCAAUGACUUCAGAGCAGCAGAGAGCCA